rnacentral:piRNA from 1 species
GAGGCAGAAUUCGGGUCCAAGGUGGUUA